GCAAUAAAUUGCAAAACCAAUCUCGAAUUGGAUACAGUUGGUUGAAUAGGUUGUAGAGAUAUUACACAAGGAAAAUGAACAACUCUGGCAUCCAUGGUGGAAGUUCACAGGCAGCAUCUAUGGUUUCAUGUAUGGUCUAUUACUUAUGAUAACCCAAAAGAGAAACUAAAUGGAAGAAGCAGCAAGCAUGGUGAUUGUUGAGUCUUUUGGCUAAAUAAGCAAGCCCCUACAACUCGACGCAUUUCAUUGGUUGUAAUUGUAUGAAGUCAUCAGCAUCCUCUUCACUGUCACUUUCAAUCCAGCCAUAACAAGGAAACGACCUUGGUGGCCGAAGGCAAACUCGCUUUGAGGAAGGAAGAGUUGUUGGGAUAUAAUCAGCAGGGGUAGGCACACUAUUAACUGAAGUUGGAGGUACGUUACUGCCUCGACCCCCAGAAUUUCCACCAUCACUGGAAAAAACAUUAGCCAGCCUCUUCUGGAUAUAGUAGGUUUGGUCCUCCUCUAUGUCUUUACACCUCUGUUCAACUCCUUCAGCUGGUGGGAGACAUAAUGCUUCGGUACUGCCAAUGUCUUGUUUGUUGCCACAAAGCUCUUCGUGUAUAGGUUCUACUGCAUCAGCAAGCUGAGAGCAUCCUGUUUCUCCUAGAGUAUUGCCAGAUUCAUUAUUUGUGGAAAUAAGAGCGCCUGAAGGACAAGUGGUGCUUAAUAAAGCAGGGUCUUCUGCUCUUUCAUCUAGUGAGGAAAAACCCUUUGAGGAAGGAAGAGCUGUAGGGUGAUGAUCAACAGGACGGGCGACAUGAUUAACCGGGCAUAGUGAAGCAGUUGGAUAGUUAUUCCCUAAUUGCACAUGACUCCCAGAACACAAUUUCAAAUAAUUAACUGGGCAGGGGGAGGAAGUUGGAGGUGAAGCAAAAUCAUGAGAGUUACUCCCUGAUUGCACUUGAUUCUUGGAAUUUCCACCAUCACACCAAACAGCAUUAACCAUCUCCUUCUGGGUAGAGAUUUGGCCUUCCACUACGUCUUUCCAGCUAUUUCCAUCUCCUUCAACUGGUGGGGGGCAAAAUACAGUACUGCAAAUGGCUUGUUUGUUUCUGCAUAGCUCUACAUAUAUUGGUGCUGGUGCAUUGACAAGCUCAGAGCAUGACGUUUCUCCGACAGUAAUACCAGCUUUAUUGUCUGUGGAAUCGACGAGAGUGCCUGAGGGACCAAGGAUGCUUUG
rnacentral:misc_RNA from 1 species